rnacentral:rRNA from 1 species
AUUGAACGCUGGCGGCAGGCUUAACACAUGCAAGUCGAGCGGGGUGAUGGUGCUUGCACUAUCACUUAGCGGCGGACGGGUGAGUAAUGCUUAGGAAUCUGCCUAUUAGUGGGGGACAACAUCUCGAAAGGGAUGCUAAUACCGCAUACGUCCUACGGGAGAAAGCAGGGGAUCACUUGUGACCUUGCGCUAAUAGAUGAGCCUAAGUCGGAUUAGCUAGUUGGUGGGGUAAAGGCCUACCAAGGCGACGAUCUGUAGCGGGUCUGAGAGGAUGAUCCGCCACACUGGGACUGAGACACGGCCCAGACGCCUACGGGAGGUAGCAGUGGGGAAUAUUGGACAAUGGGGGGAACCCUGAUCCAGCCAUGCCGCGUGUGUGAAGAAGGCCUUAUGGUUGUAAAGCACUUUAAGCGAGGAGGAGGCUCUUUUGGUUAAUACCCAAGAUGAGUGGACGUUACUCGCAGAAUAAGCACCGGCUGACUCUGUGCCAGCCGCCGCGGUAA